UACGGAGGGGACUAGCGUUGUUCGGAAUUACUGGGCGUAAAGCGUGCGCAGGCGGUUUUGUAAGUCUGUCGUGAAAGCCCCGGGCUCAACCUGGGAAUUGCGAUGGAGACUGCAAGGCUUGAAUCUGGCAGAGGGGGGUAGAAUUCCACGUGUAGCAGUGAAAUGCGUAGAGAUGUGGAGGAACACCGAUGGCGAAGGCAGCCCCCUGGGUCAAGAUUGGACGCUCAUGCACGAAAGCGUGGGGAGCAAACAGG
rnacentral:rRNA from 1 species